rnacentral:rRNA from 1 species
GAUUCUGGCUCAGAUUGAACGCUGGCGGCAGGCCUAACACAUGCAAGUCGAACGGUAACAGGAAGAAGCUUGCUUCUUUGCUGACGAGUGGCGGACGGGUGAGUAAUGUCUGGGAAACUGCCUGAUGGAGGGGGAUAACUACUGGAAACGGUGGCUAAUACCGCAUAACGUCGCAAGACCAAAGAGGGGGGACCUUCGGGCCUCUUGCCAUCGGAUGUGCCCAGAUGGGAUUAGCUUGUUGGUGGGG